UUUUCGACAAUGGGCGCAAGCCUUAUCCAGCCAUUCCGCGUGAUUGAUGAAGGCCACAUGGUUGUAAAGCUCUUUUGUCCGGGACGAUAACGACGGUAUCGGAAUAAUAAGCCUCGGCUAUCUUCGUUCCAGCAGCCGCGGUAAUACGAAGGGGGCUAGCGUUGCUCGGAAUUACUGGGCGUAAAGGGCGCGUAGGCGGACGUUUAAGUCAGGGGUGAAAUCCCGGGGCUCAACCUCGGAAUUGCCUUUGAUACUGGAUGGCUCGAGACCGGAAGAGGUAAGUGGAACUGAGAGUGUAGAGGUGAAAUUCGUAGAUAUUCGCAAGAACACCAGUGGCGAAGGCGGCUUACUGGUCCGGUUCUGACGCUGAGGCGCGAAAGCGUGGGGAGCAAACAGG
rnacentral:rRNA from 1 species